UACAGAGGGUGCAAGCGUUAAUCGGAAUUACUGGGCGUAAAGGGCGCGUAGGCGGUCAGCACAAGUCAGUUGUGAAAUCUCCGGGCUUAACCCGGAAAGGUCAACUGAUACUGUGCGACUAGAGUGCGGAAGGGGCAACUGGAAUUCUCGGUGUAGCGGUGAAAUGCGUAGAUAUCUGGAGGAAUACCGGUGGCGAAGGCGGCAUCCUGGACCGAGAUUGACGCUGAGGAGCGAAAGCUAGGGGAGCAAACGGG
rnacentral:rRNA from 1 species